rnacentral:lncRNA from 1 species
GCUUCUUAUAAAUAACUGCAUGGCUACAGUGAAGCGUGUGGUGUUUCUCUCACAGUCGACUGUAGACAACGAAGAUGAAGUGACUUACAGCACUUUGGUUCACAAGAAACCGGCAGCAACAAGCAAAGUACAUAAGCCCGCUGUGGACCCCAGUACUGAAGUUCUAUACAGCAGCGUAGCUCGACAGGACACCCAGAGCUCCGCAUCCAGAGCUGAUGAGGUCGUCUACAGUUCUGUCAUAACGAAGAAGAAAAAGAACUCCAAGGACCCUGGAGAUGGACAGAUGCUGGAUGGAAAUCAAUUCUCCUAUUUUGUUGGUUAAUCUUAUACAGUAUUUCAACAGCUCCUUUGGAAUUUUAUGCUAAAGAAGUCAUGGCUGUCAAGUGACCAGUACAAUAAACAGUCCCUUCCACAACGGAGGCUCCA